rnacentral:tRNA from 1 species
GCUCCCAUCGUCUAGUGGCCCAGGACGUUGCCCUCUCACGGCGAAAACCGGGGUUCGAGUCCCCGUGGGAGCACCA